rnacentral:misc_RNA from 1 species
GAUGAAGAACGUAGCGAGAUGCGAUACUUGGUGUGAAUUGCAGAAUCCCGUGAACCAUCGAGUCUUUGAACGCAAGUUGCGCCCGAAGCCAUUAGGCCGAGGGCACGCCUGCCUGGGCGUCACACGUCGUUGCCCCCCCCAUCUACUCCUUCGGGAUUGCGGGGGGCGGAUGAUGGCCUCCCGUGCGCCUCGCCGCGCGGUUGGCAUAAAUGCCAAGUCCUCGGCGACGCACGCCACGACAAUCGGUGGUUGCGAAACCUCGGUUGCCCGUCGUGUGCGGUCGUCGCGCAUCGAGGGCUCGAAAAAAUUGCCGGGUUCCGGCUCGGCUUUCAACGCGACCCCAGGUCAGGCGGGGUUACCCGCUGAAUUUAAGCAUAUCAAUAAGCGGAGGA